UACGGAGGAUGCGAGCGUUAUCCGGAUUCAUUGGGUUUAAAGGGUGCGUAGGCGGACUUAUAAGUCAGUGGUGAAAUCCUGCAGCUUAACUGUAGCACUGCCAUUGAUACUGUUAGUCUUGAGUUUGGUUAAGGUAGGCGGAAUGUGUAAUGUAGCGGUGAAAUGCUUAGAUAUUACCCAGAACACCAAUUGCGAAGGCAGCUUACUGGACCGAUACUGACGCUGAUGCACGAAAGCGUGGGGAGCGAACAGGAUUAGAUACCCUGGUAGUCCACGCAGUAAACGAUGAUCACUCGCUGUUGGCGAUACACAGUCAGCGGCUAAGCAAAAGCAUUAAGUGAUCCACCUGGGGAGUACGGCCGCAAGGUUGAA
rnacentral:rRNA from 1 species